rnacentral:rRNA from 1 species
AGAGUUUGAUCCUGGCUCAGAUUGAACGCUGGCGGCAGGCCUAACACAUGCAAGUCGAGCGGCAGCGGGAAAGUAGCUUGCUACUUUUGCCGGCGAGCGGCGGACGGGUCUAGUAAUGCCUGGGGAUCUGCCCAGUCGAGGGGGAUAACAGUUGGAAACGACUGCUAAUACCGCAUACGCCCUACGGGGGAAAGGAGGGGACCUUCGGGCCUUUCGCGAUUGGAUGAACCCAGGUGGGAUUAGCUAGUUGGUGGGGUAAUGGCUCACCAAGGCGACGAUCCCUAGCUGGUCUGAGAGGAUGAUCAGCCACACUGGAACUGAGACACGGUCCAGACUCCUACGGGAGGCAGCAGUGGGGAAUAUUGCACAAUGGGGGAAACCCUGACUCAGCCAUGCCGCGUGUGUGAAGAAGGCCUUCGGGUUGUAAAGCACUUUCAGCGAGGAGGAAGGGAAGUUGGCUAAUAUCCAGCAACUGUGAAGUACUCGCAGAAGAAGCACCG